GACUUUCUAUUGUGUAGCGACGUUAUAACCUUUACACCACGACGGUUAUGUAUUUACCGUCGUCUAUAACAUUUACCCCUUCAGUAUGUUCUAGAAAACGUCGUUGAUAUUAUAUACCACGUCGGUUUUGUUUAUUUAUUGGAGUCGUCUAUUUUACUUCAUGUACAAACCAACUUUAUUUCUUUAUUUAUAUUUCUUGUUACAGGAUCUCUCAAAGCUUGACAUGCCAACUCCUCUGUUA
rnacentral:lncRNA from 1 species